rnacentral:rRNA from 1 species
GGGUUGUGAGGUUAAGCGACUAAGCGUACACGGUGGAUGCCCUGGCAGUCAGAGGCGAUGAAGGACGUGCUAAUCUGCGAAAAGCGUCGGUAAGGUGAUAUGAACCGUUACAGCCGGCGAUGUCCGAAUGGGGAAACCCAGUGCAAUUCGUUGCACUAUCGUUAACUGAAUACAUAGGUUAACGAGGCGAACCGGGGGAACUGAAACAUCUAAGUACCCCGAGGAAAAGAAAUCAACCGAGAUUCCCCCAGUAGCGGCGAGCGAACGGGGAGCAGCCCAGAGUCUGAAUCAGCUUGUGUGUUAGUGGAACGGUCUGGAAAGUCCGACGGUACAGGGUGAUAGUCCCGUACACCAAAAUGCACAGGCUGUGAACUCGAAGAGUAGGGCGGGACACGUGGUAUCCUGUCUGAAUAUGGGGGGACCAUCCUCCAAGGCUAAAUACUCCUGACUGACCGAUAGUGAACCAGUACCGUGAGGGAAAGGCGAAAAGAACCCCGGCGAGGGGAGUGAAAAAGAACCUGAAACCGUGUACGUACAAGCAGUGGGAGCACCUUCGGGUGUGACUGCGUACCUUUUGUAUAAUGGGUCAGCGACUUAUAUUCUGUAGCAAGGUUAACCGUAUAGGGGAGCCGCAGGGAAACCGAGUCUUAACUGGGCGUUAAGUUGCAGGGUAUAGACCCGAAACCCGGUGAUCUAGCCAUGGGCAGGUUGAAGGUUGGGUAACACUAACUGGAGGACCGAACCGACUAAUGUUGAAAAAUUAGCGGAUGACUUGUGGCUGGGGGUGAAAGGCCAAUCAAACCGGGAGAUAGCUGGUUCUCCCCGAAAGCUAUUUAGGUAGCGCCUCGUGAACUCAUCUUCGGGGGUAGAGCACUGUUUCGGCUAGGGGUCAUCCCGACUUACCAACCCGAUGCAAACUACGAAUACCGAAGAAUGUUAUCACGGGAGACACACGGCGGGUGCUAACGUCCGUCGUGAAGAGGGAAACAACCCAGACCGCCAGCUAAGGUCCCAAAGUCAUGGUUAAGUGGGAAACGAUGUGGGAAGGCACAGACAGCCAGGAUGUUGGCUUAGAAGCAGCCAUCAUUUAAAGAAAGCGUAAUAGCUCACUGGUCGAGUCGGCCUGCGCGGAAGAUGUAACGGGGCUAAACCAUGCACCGAAGCUGCGGCAGCGACACUAUGUGUUGUUGGGUAGGGGAGCGUUCUGUAAGCCUGCGAAGGUGACCUGUGAGGGUUGCUGGAGGUAUCAGAAGUGCGAAUGCUGACAUAAGUAACGAUAAAGCGGGUGAAAAGCCCGCUCGCCGGAAGACCAAGGGUUCCUGUCCAACGUUAAUCGGGGCAGGGUGAGUCGACCCCUAAGGCGAGGCCGAAAGGCGUAGUCGAUGGGAAACAGGUUAAUAUUCCUGUACUUGGUGUUACUGCGAAGGGGGGACGGAGAAGGCUAUGUUAGCCGGGCGACGGUUGUCCCGGUUUAAGCAUGUAGGCUGGUUGUCCAGGCAAAUCCGGAUAAUCAAGGCUGAGGUGUGAUGACGAGGCACUACGGUGCUGAAGUAACAAAUGCCCUGCUUCCAGGAAAAGCCUCUAAGCAUCAGGUAACAUCAAAUCGUACCCCAAACCGACACAGGUGGUCAGGUAGAGAAUACCAAGGCGCUUGAGAGAACUCGGGUGAAGGAACUAGGCAAAAUGGUGCCGUAACUUCGGGAGAAGGCACGCUGGUGUGUAGGUGAAGUCCCUGCGGAUGGAGCUGAGACCAGUCGAAGAUACCAGCUGGCUGCAACUGUUUAUUAAAAACACAGCACUGUGCAAACACGAAAGUGGACGUAUACGGUGUGACGCCUGCCCGGUGCCGGAAGGUUAAUUGAUGGGGUUAUCCGUAAGGAGAAGCUCUUGAUCGAAGCCCCGGUAAACGGCGGCCGUAACUAUAACGGUCCUAAGGUAGCGAAAUUCCUUGUCGGGUAAGUUCCGACCUGCACGAAUGGCGUAAUGAUGGCCAGGCUGUCUCCACCCGAGACUCAGUGAAAUUGAACUCGCUGUGAAGAUGCAGUGUACCCGCGGCAAGACGGAAAGACCCCGUGAACCUUUACUAUAGCUUGACACUGAACAUUGAGCCUUGAUGUGUAGGAUAGGUGGGAGGCUUUGAAGCGUGGACGCCAGUCUGCGUGGAGCCAACCUUGAAAUACCACCCUUUAAUGUUUGAUGUUCUAACGUUGGCCCCUUACCGGGGUUGCGGACAGUGUCUGGUGGGUAGUUUGACUGGGGCGGUCUCCUCCCAAAGCGUAACGGAGGAGCACGAAGGUUAGCUAAUCCUGGUCGGACAUCAGGAGGUUAGUGCAAUGGCAUAAGCUAGCUUGACUGCGAGCGUGACGGCGCGAGCAGGUGCGAAAGCAGGUCAUAGUGAUCCGGUGGUUCUGAAUGGAAGGGCCAUCGCUCAACGGAUAAAAGGUACUCCGGGGAUAACAGGCUGAUACCGCCCAAGAGUUCAUAUCGACGGCGGUGUUUGGCACCUCGAUGUCGGCUCAUCACAUCCUGGGGCUGAAGUAGGUCCCAAGGGUAUGGCUGUUCGCCAUUUAAAGUGGUACGCGAGCUGGGUUUAGAACGUCGUGAGACAGUUCGGUCCCUAUCUGCCGUGGGCGCUGGAGAAUUGAGGGGGGCUGCUCCUAGUACGAGAGGACCGGAGUGGACGCAUCACUGGUGUUCGGGUUGUCAUGCCAAUGGCACUGCCCGGUAGCUAAAUGCGGAAGAGAUAAGUGCUGAAAGCAUCUAAGCACGAAACUUGCCCCGAGAUGAGUUCUCCCUGAGACUUUAAGUCUCCUGAAGGAACGUUAAAGA